UGGGGAAUAUUGGACAAUGGGGGCAACCCUGAUCCAGCAAUACCGUGUGUGUGAAGAAGGCCUUCGGGUUGUAAAGCACUUUUAGUGGGAAAGAAAAGUUCAAAGCUAAUACCUUUGAACCGUGACGUUACCCACAGAAAAAGCACUGGCUAACUCUGUGCCAGCAGCCGCGGUAAUACAGAGAGUGCGAGCGUUAAUCGGAAUUACUGGGCGUAAAGCGCACGUAGGUCGAGCUUUAAGUCAGAUGUGAAAUCCCCGGGCUUAACCUGGGAAUUGCAUUUGAUACUGGGGCUCUAGAAUAUGGUAGAGGGAGGUGGAAUUUCCGGUGUAGCGGUGAAAUGCGUAGAUAUCGGAAGGAACAUCAGUGGCGAAAGCGGCCUCCUGGACCAAUAUUGACACUUAGGUGCGAAAGCGUGGGGAGCAAACAG
rnacentral:rRNA from 1 species